GAUGAACGCUGGCGGCGUGCCUAAUACAUGCAAGUCGAGCGAACGGACGAGAAGCUUGCUUCUCUGAUGUUAGCGGCGGACGGGUGAGUAACACGUGGAUAACCUACCUAUAAGACUGGGAUAACUUCGGGAAACCGGAGCUAAUACCGGAUAAUAUUUUGAACCGCAUGGUUCAAAAGUGAAAGACGGUCUUGCUGUCACUUAUAGAUGGAUCCGCGCUGCAUUAGCUAGUUGGUAAGGUAACGGCUUACCAAGGCAACGAUGCAUAGCCGACCUGAGAGGGUGAUCGGCCACACUGGAAUUGAGACACGGUCCAGACUCCUACGGGAGGCAGCAGUAGGGAAUCUUCCGCAAUGGGCGAAGGCCUGACGGAGCAACGCCGCGUGAGUGAUGAAGGUCUUCGGAUCGUAAAACUCUGUUAUUAGGGAAGAACAUAUGUGUAAGUAACUGUGCACAUCUUGACGGUACCUAAUCAGAAAGCCACGGCUAACUACGUG
rnacentral:rRNA from 1 species